UAACCUGCCUGGUAGCGGGGGAUAACUAGUGGAAACGAUAGCUAAUACCGCAUAAUAGUAGAUGUUGCAUGACAUUUACUUAAAAGGUGCAAUUGCAUCACUACCAGAUGGACCUGCGUUGUAUUAGCUAGUUGGUGGGGUAACGGCUCACCAAGGCGACGAUACAUAGCCGACCUGAGAGGGUGAUCGGCCACACUGGGACUGAGACACGGCCCAG
rnacentral:rRNA from 1 species